rnacentral:rRNA from 1 species
UACGUAGGGGGCAAGCGUUAUCCGGAAUCACUGGGCGUAAAGCGUGCGUAGGUGGCGUGUUAAGUGUGAUGUUAAAUCGUGGGGCUCAACCCUGUCGGUGCAUCACAUACUGGCAUGCUAGAGGACAGCAGAGGCAAGUGGAAUUGGUAGUGUAGCAGUGAAAUGCGUAGAUAUUACCAGGAACACCAAUGGCGAAGGCAGCUUGCUGGGCUACUCCUGACACUGAGGUACGAAAGCGUGGGGAGCGAACAGG